rnacentral:rRNA from 1 species
GACGAACGCUGGCGGCGUGCCUAAUACAUGCAAGUCGAACGCAGUGGGGACGGGUGAGUAACACGUGGGUAACCUCCCAUCAGAGGGGAUAACACUUUGAAACAGGUGCUAAACCGAUACUGAUGGAUGGUCCCGGGGUGCAUUAGCUAUUUGGUGAGGUAACGGCUCACCAAGGCCACGAUGCAUAGCGGUCCUGAGAGGUUGAUCGGCCACACUGGGACUGAGACACGGCCCAGACUCCUACGGGAGGCAGCAGUAGGGAAUAUUAGGCAAUGGACGAAAGUCUGACCGAGCAACGCCGCGUGAGUGAAGAAGGUUUUCGGAUCGUAAAGAUCUGUUGGUAGAGAAGCGGUAUCUAACCAGAAAGCAACGGCUAACUACGUGCCAGCAGCCGCGGUAAUUC